ACAGUCGUGGCCCAGUGGUUAAGGCGAUGGACUAGAGAUCCAUUGGGGUCGCCCCGGACAGGUUCGAUUCCUGCCGACUGCG
rnacentral:tRNA from 1 species